rnacentral:rRNA from 1 species
AGUGAACGCUGGCGGUAGGCCUAACACAUGCAAGUCGAACGGCAGCACAGGAGAGCUUGCUCUCUGGGUGGCGAGUGGCGGACGGGUGAGGAAUACAUCGGAAUCUACUCUGUCGUGGGGGAUAACGUAGGGAAACUUACGCUAAUACCGCAUACGACCUACGGGUGAAAGCAGGGGAUCUUCGGACCUUGCGCGAUUGAAUGAGCCGAUGUCGGAUUAGCUAGUUGGCGGGGUAAAGGCCCACCAAGGCGACGAUCCGUAGCUGGUCUGAGAGGAUGAACAGCCACACUAGAACUGAGGGACGGUCCAGACUCCUACGGGAGGCAGCAGUGGGGAAUAUUGAACAAUGGGCGCAAGCCUGAUCCAGCCAUACCGCGUGGGUGAAGAAGGCCUUCGGGUUGUAAAGCCCUUUUGUUGGGAAAGAAAUCCAGCUGGCUAAUACCCGGUUGGGAUGACGGUACCCAAAGAAUAAGCACCGGCUAACUUCGUGCCAGCCGCCGCCGUAA